GAUGAAGAACGCAGCGAAAUGCGAUAAGUAAUGCGAAUUGCAGAAUUCCAGUGAGUCAUCGAAUCUUUGAACGCACAUUGCGCCCUUUGGUAUUCCGAAGGGCAUGCCUGUUCGAGCGUCAUUAUCACCCCUCAAGCCCUCGGCUUGGUGUUGGACGGUUUGGUGGAGGCCCCCUCGGGGGCUCCUGCCCCUCCCAAAGACAAUGACGGCGGCCUCGUUGGACCCCCGGUACACUGAGUUCUUCACGGGACACGUAUCGGACACAUGCGUUUACGGGACACGGUCUGCCUCCCCUCAGGGAGAAUCUUUCUAAGGUUGACCUCGGAUCAGGUAGGGAUACCCGCUGAACUUAAGCAUAUCAAUAAGCGGAGGA
rnacentral:misc_RNA from 1 species